CUUAUCACCCUCUAGUAUAAAACAUAGGUCUAAUUUAAUCCCUUGGAUCAACAAAUCUGAUGGCUGAAAUUAAAAUUCACGCGGUACAUUAAGUUGGUGGUUUCGUACAUUAAAGGGCAGUUUUGGUAUCACUCUAUUAGACAGUUCCCUAUUUAAAAAUGCAUUUGCAAGAUUUACGGGAUUUAUUUUCAGCAACUAUACAUUUUCCUCCAUCUCUCUCUCUCCCCAUUACUUCCACCAUCUCUCCUCCGUCAUUGAUCAGUAAUCACCCAGAACCCUAGCCGCCGCCUCACUCACCAUCACUUAUAUCGUCUCUCCUCUCAAUACUUUUCACACGACCUAGAAGACGACGAAUCGGUGACCAUCACGACGCGGGAAAAACGGUGUGUACGAAGCGUAAUUAGUUUCGACAACGAAGAUUUGAUGGAUAACUAAAGCAGUUGAAAUCCCGACUGAUUUCAACGGCAGCGUGAAAGGUUCAACGAGUGCAAGAAUCGAUUUGAGGAUGACUUUGACGAUGAUAUGCCCAUUGCAUUAACACAACGACAAGAUUUAAAGAUGUUCAAAGAUGUGCUACAUUAUUAUUGUGUUGUAGAUUAUAAUGUGCGAAAAUUAUAUUUUAAUGUAGACUAUAAUUUGUUUGAUGAGGGGGCAGAAGUUAUAUCCAUUCUUCAAGGGUUUAAUAGUCCAUGGGGCUAGGGUGUAGUACCAACCUAGUAGCACAACUUUCACUAAGGGCAAGGAGUUAGAGCCAUUCUUGUAGUAUUCAAUUAUUUAUUGUUUUGUGUAGUAGUCUCUGUUUGCAUUCUUACACUUA